AGUAGCUCCGCUCUUUCAUGUUCAAUCCUCUUUCAGCUAUUUCUUGAUGCUCCAAGUCAAGCUCUGUUCUCAGCCUCGCUGGUUACAAAAGCCGGGGAGCUACAAGUGCUGCUUCAAAACACCUUUUGCUCUGUCAUUUUAGGUGGAAUCUUUGCACCCUCCUCCAUCCCAUGCACCUCCAGUCACCUUAUCUAUAGCCCAGGACCAGCUCAUCAAAAGCCCACUCCUCUUCCCAUCCAGAGCCUCAGCUCCCCCUUCACCACCAUGACCACAGCCAGAGUCUAGACUCCAUAGGGGGGAUCCCUAAUCUACUAUGUCUUUACCACCCUCCUGGAAUAUAUGACAUCACAAUGGUGUCUAAUCGCCAAAGACUUUUCACGUUUCUAACACUUAUGGGCACAUGUAAAUAAAUAUUAUUUUCUCUUGGAAUGAGUCUCUCCUGAUUGAAAUACAGUCAAACACGGCGGUCCAAUCUGACGUGUCUGCUGUGCUCAUACUAUGUUGCUUUGCUGGCUUCUUCCACUUUACCUUACACACUAACUGAUGGAGGCAGUGGUAGACCAGCAACUCUGACUGUAAGGUAAAGCAGUGAAAAUAUUUUAAAUAAAAUAUACACAUGAUAUACAUGAUGUUGAUUUUUUUAGGUGGGCCUUUUUUCGGUGGCUAAAAACUAAGCAUUUGAGGCAAACAUUGCUCAGCGCCAUUUGAUUUUAUGUAUUUGAUUGGACUCAACAUUAAGGUACUCAAAGCAAAAUGAUCAGGAUCAGGUCACCCAUAUUUGUGACUGAUCUCUUUGACUUUCCUUUGUCCUUUGGCUCUGGGUUGGCGGCCCCCAGACCCCUGAGCCUCUACCCAGUAUACCCAUAAUAAUCCAUAUCCAGUAUGGCUCUGUCCACCCCUCAGCCAGUUGAGAUGGUCCAGUCCAAUCACCAAUUACAUUAGCUUUUGAUAUCGAGUAAGGCAAUAUUUUAUCAAUGCAAUUCCAAGCCUCUCUAGUUUUUCAUUCCCCACUUAUAUCACGUUACCUCAUGAAAUAGAUUCUCACAUGAAAUAUUAGACCAAAUAGCAGCUAUCACUCAAUGUUAUCGAAUGGGUCAGUAAUGAAUACUCACGGACACAACCUGACGUACUCAUUUUGUUUUUUAUUUAUUUAUUACCUAAAAAAAGAAAAUGUUCUAUCACAAGUCACACUGAAAUGUAUUGCUUAAGAAAAAAAAUAUAUUCAUAUAUUUUUUCAUUUUUUUCUCUUUUUUUUGGCAUUUUUUUUCAUUUUUUUUCUUUUUUCGGAAACAUUGUUUAGUUUCCAUUAUAUUCCACCAAAAAAAAAACAAAAAAAAAAAACAAAAAAAACAAAAAAGUUUUUUUCAGACACGAGCAUCAGCUGCUGCCGUGUCCCGACAACCUUCUCCCCCACUUUAAAAAAAAAAAAAAAUGCACAAAGAAAUACAUAAUUCACAGUUACCAUUUUGGUUUCAUAAAUUAAUACAGUCACACAUGUGCUACACCGGUCUAGAGCUAGAACAUUGUAAAUUGUAUUCUUGAAUCCUGUUAUUUUCAAUAGUUGGCUACAAGAAAGAACAGGCAACUUAAAUGACGUGAUCAGAAUUCCACCAACAUACUGUUUUUUAUCCUCUCUGUAAUGCUUUUGUCAUCUUUUUUGUUUUUGUUUCAUCUUUUUGAGUUUCACACAGAAGUGAGGCACACACAGAGUAUAGUUCAUACAUAUACAAAACAAAAUUAAAUAAAAUUUGGGAGGGGCAGGGGAUAAAUUGUCCUUUAAUAAUGUUGUAUCCAAGGAAACAGGAAGUGCAUGUAGUCUGGAGUCCUCAGAGGACCUUUUUUCUUAUUCUGAAUCAGGGCUGUUUCUUGCCACCUAAGUACUGUGGUGUAAACUUCCUCAGUUUAACAUAAGUUACACAGAUUUGCAGCUUUUUGCAGCUUGUUGGUGGGAGGACUGAGUUAAGAGGGAUGUGAGGUUUUCGGACAACGGAGACCAACAAGCAUGGCAACACAAUGAAGAAAUGGGACAAAGACAGUAUUUGAGGAACAACACCAACUUUUUUUGAAUUGAUUCACUCAAACAAGCUCCACCCCUAAAAUCUACGACGCUCAUGGCUGUGAAUACUACAGUCCUGUGUUAUCAACCAAUGAAAACAAGCUUAAAUCUGACACUGACACAGCAAGGGCAACAUUUUUAAGGCACAGAAGCCUUGACAUAAUAGAGACUCCACCAGCUAAAAGCACUAAACGACAGAUGCCCAGUGUCCUCAGUGACAAAAAAUGGCGCCUUGAUGACAACAAGUCCGACAACGAUGCACAGAAAGUUUGAAAACCCAAAAGAAAAAAAAAAAA